CCACCCCUUUCUCAUGUGUGACUGAAGACUGCAUUACUCUAUUUUUUAGUCACCAUUAGAAGCAACUAACUGGGUACUUGAGUACCUGACUUGGGUACCUGACUCAGAAGUUAAUAGUGUCUCAGUUUUACCAUUCUAUAACUGUCAGGAAGCUAAGCAAACCUAGGCGUCAAGGACCCUGCCCCUCCCCAUGCAUGCUUGGAUUCUCUUAAUCCCUGACUCUCUGAGCUACUUCUCCAGUACAACCCCAAUGGGAUGGCCUUCUUCCCCUACUUACUGUUCUUUCCCUGCAAUUAGCUUCUAAGAACAAGCUUCCAGGGCACGGGUUCUCAACCUGCGGGUCUUGACCCCUUAGGAAAUUACUGAAUGACUCUUUCACAGGGUUUGCCUCAGAGUGUCAGAAAACAGUUAUUUACAUUAGAAUUCAUAAAUAGCAAAAGCACAGUUAUGAAGUAGCAAUGAAACAAUUUAAUGGUUGUAGGUCACCAUAGCAAUGAGGAACUGUAUCAGAGUCACAGGAAGGAAGGUUGAGAACCACUGCUAGAGGCAAGGAACUUAGAACCCAAGCAGAGUUCUGAGAUCCCUGAAGAUAGGGACCGUGACACUGUGUCUGCCUUCCAUAAGGAUUCAUUCUCAAGAUCAGACUCUUGAGAAUGGUUUUUGUCACCACGAAAUAAUAGAGCUGGUGCUUGCAUGCACAUGUGUCUGGGGAACCGUUCUUGCCUGAGGAAAGUGUGUCCUCAAAGAGCAUGGGGCAGACGUUCAUGUGGAAAUGGGGGAUCCCUUUGCGCUUUGAAGCAGUAAAUGAUAGGACAAGAAGGGAAACAACUCGCCCAGGACAAAGUACUCUUCUCACAGCUGACUGCAGUAUUUACCUACAAGUGCGUGUUGCCCGGAGAACGUAUGCACUCGGAUGCUCACCAACUCACCCAGGGGAGGCAUGAGGAAAUUGGAAGUCAAGUUUAGGGAGUCCCAGAGUGGCAGCCUGGAGCAGUCGGAAGACUUGGGAUGUAUGAUUCAGAGGUGUGCAUCACCAGCUGGAUAUGCACCAGUAAGGACCCCCGCCUCCUAGUCCAUGAACGACUCCAAGUUACUACUGGAAUAAAGAAACAAGGUUAAACUUCCUCAUACUGGUUCCAGGGCAUCUGUUGGUAGGGCUUGAGAGUCCCUGAAGAAUCAAAGGCCACCUUGUUCACUAAAUGAGACAACUAGUCCAUGUGGGUCAAGCUGGGCA
rnacentral:lncRNA from 1 species